AUUAUUUUCUAUUGCCUUGUUUCCACUUUUCUUAGUUGCUCUCACUCUCCCUGGUCUUCUUCUCAUAAAGUGUAAAGAUCUUUCUUGCAACAAAAUUGAAUUGCCGUUUGUAGGCGUCGACAAACCCCUAGAAUAGCGACUUCAUGAUUUUUCUCUGGUGGUUGAGGACCUUUCUAAAGUUUGAAAAGCAAUCAAACUGUUAAAUAUCAAUGGUAAAAGAGGUGACUGUACAGUUGAUGCUCCAGUAAUUAUGACUCCAGAAAAUAAGCCCUCAACUCUAAUACCCUCUAAGGUUUAGUAGACUGUCAGCAAGAUGCACUCCUAGGUGAUGGUAAGACUAUACUGCAUGCACAACUUUGUGAGCAAAUUUUUUUCCAGAUAGAUUAUAUGUAUGCUUAAGAAGGUAUUUAUGGAAGAUAAUUUUUGACGAUGCAGCAUGGAGGUAAGAGAUUGAGACUCUUAAAAGAACUAUUGAACUAUAGAAACAGAGCACUACGAGGGAUUGAUUAGUUAGCAUGAUUGGAAUAACUCUGCAUAUGGUUGAAAAUAUGCAUAGUGCACAUCUUUGUUCGUCUUAAUAUUUAAAAACGAGUGUCAUCGUGUACGUCUGUGCUUUACUGUUAUUACUUCACCCUAUCAUGUUAUAUUUUCACUGGAGUUAACAUUUUAAAGUUUGUUGUUGUCGUAUUAAUGUACUAUGGCAUUCACUUCUGUCUUCUGAACAAGAAAGGUUAAUCCAGAGAAAUUUUCAUUCAGUGAGGAAGGUAAAGCCUUCCAUGGUGAAAUGGAAGUGAUUGCUCAAGGUCUGUUUUGAGAAAUGGAAGAGAAAAUAAGGCCUUCCAGAACUACUUUUAUCAAGAAUCACAUACUCUUGCAAUACCUAUUCCCAAGUGCCUUCUUAUGUACUAGAUAACAAUGUAGUUUAAGAAAUAGAUAAUGCAGAUGAUUCUUGUCUAUAUAAAAAUGAAAAAUAAAUGUACUAAUGAACCAGAGCCUAUAUAAAUUGUUGGUAUUAUACUGUUUA